AUGGCCUGGGACAACUUGCCUUUGUGUCCUUCUGGGUUACAUAGUGUCUAUUCUCUGUGCCACUCCAAACAGAGGUGCAGCUUGGCUGUCAGCAAUGGCACCCUUCCCAGCAACCAUUGCUCCAGACACUGGCCCUUAUUUGAAGAAGUGAAUAUGCAUUGCAGAGCUCACCUUGUAUCACCAACAGCCCCCUCCACGUGGGUCUCAAACAGAACAGCAGCCUUAUGUCUCCCACCUUCCAGAAAGUGAAAGCAACUGCAAGCAAUUCCUGUUCAAGUUGGUCCAGUAAUGGAGUUGGGGAAGGGAUCAAGAAAAGUGGCUGUCCCUGUCAUAAUAACUGUCCUGCCCUGAAUCAGUGCAAGCCUGAGCCUCAGAGAGGAGCAACUUGGAGCAUCUUCCCCAUCGUGUGCCUAGCCACG
rnacentral:lncRNA from 1 species